rnacentral:rRNA from 1 species
UACAGAGGUGGCAAGCGUUGUUCGGAAUUACUGGGCGUAAAGGGCGCGUAGGCGGCCUUCUAAGUCAGACGUGAAAUCCCCGGGCUUAACCUGGGAACUGCGCUUCUAACUGGCAGGCUUGAGUGUGGCAGAGGGGGGUGGAAUUCCGUGGUGUAGCGGUGAAAUGCGCAGAUAUCAGGAGGAACACCAAUGGCGAAGGCAGCUCGCUGGGACGGUACUGACGCUGAGACGCGAAAGCGUGGGGAGCAAACAGG